UGAGGAAUAUUGGUCAAUGGGCGAGAGCCUGAACCAGCCAAGUCGCGUGAAGGAAUACGGCCCUAUGGGUCUUAAACUUCUUUUGUAUAGGGGUAAAGGUAUGUACGUGUACAUAUUUGCAAGUACUAUACGAAUAAGGAUCGGCUAACUCCGUGCCAGCAGCCGCGGUAAUACGGAGGAUCCGAGCGUUAUCCGGAUUUAUUGGGUUUAAAGGGAGCGUAGGCCGGAGAUUAAGCGUGUUGUGAAAUGUAGACGCUCAACGUCUGCACUGCAGCGCGAACUGGUUUCCUUGAGUACGCACAAAGUGGGCGGAAUUCGUGGUGUAGCGGUGAAAUGCUUAGAUAUCACGAAGAACUCCGAUUGCGAAGGCAGCUCACUGGAGCGCAACUGACGCUGAAGCUCGAAAGUGCGGGUAUCGAACAGGAUUAGAUACCCUGGUAGU
rnacentral:rRNA from 1 species